rnacentral:rRNA from 1 species
CCUACGGGAGGCAGCAGUGAGGAAUAUUGGUCAAUGGACGAGAGUCUGAACCAGCCAAGUAGCGUGAAGGAUGACUGCCCUAUGGGUUGUAAACUUCUUUUAUAUGGGAAUAAAAUGUUCCACGUGUGGGAUUUUGUAUGUACCAUAUGAAUAAGGAUCGGCUAACUCCGUGCCAGCAGCCGCGGUAAUACGGAGGAUCCGAGCGUUAUCCGGAUUUAUUGGGUUUAAAGGGAGCUUAGGUGGAUUGUUAAGUCAGUUGUGAAAGUUUGCGGCUCAACCGUAAAAUUGAAGUUGAAACUGGCAGUCUUGAGUACAGUAGAGGUGGGCGGAAUUCGUGGUGUAGCGGUGAAAUGCUUAGAUAUCACGAAGAACUCCGAUUGCGAAGGCAGUUCACUGGACUGCAACUGACACUGAGGCUCGAAAGUGUGGGUAUCAAACAGGAUUAGAUACCCGAGUAGUC